rnacentral:misc_RNA from 1 species
AAGUCGUAACAAGGUUUCCGUAGGUGAACCUGCGGAAGGAUCAUUAAAAAAAGGGUCGAAAGACCUAUUUUCUACUGAAACUCUACAAUCUUUUUUAGAUGGUAGAUGUUUCUUUAAAAUCCAAUAAAACAUAUCGUCUUUGGACGAACUAAAAAUAAAAUUCUAAAAAACUUUCAACAAUGGAUCUCUUGGCUCUC